rnacentral:tRNA from 2 species
GCCGUGGUAGCUCAGAUGGUUAGAGCGCACGACUCAUAAUCGUGAGGUCGACGGUUCAAUUCCGUCCCACGGUACAA